AUGGCUUCAUCCGGUUCCAGGACAAGGCCGCCGUGUGCUGAUCGUGAAGACAUGCCGAACAAGUGGCAGAACGCCAAGCUGGACGAGGUGAAGGAAAAAGAUAUGAAAACUCCAUCAUGUUGGUGUGGAGAUGUUUGCAAGGUGAAGGUGUCCACCGACCGCAAGAAGUCAUGGACGGAAGGGAGAAGAUUCUUUGUGUGUCCCAACUAUGCACAUGAUCGGGCGCUUCCAACAAACGCCUAUGAUGUACCACCGGUAUGGUAA
rnacentral:rRNA from 1 species